rnacentral:rRNA from 1 species
GACGAACGCUGGCGGCGUGCCUAAUACAUGCAAGUAGAACGCUGAAGAGAGGAGCUUGCUCUUCUUGGAUGAGUUGCGAACGGGUGAGUAACGCGUAGGUAACCUGCCUUGUAGCGGGGGAUAACUAUUGGAAACGAUAGCUAAUACCGCAUACAAUGGAUGACACAUGUCAUUUAUUUGAAAGGGGCAAUUGCUCCACUACAAGAUGGACCUGCGUUGUAUUAGCUAAUAGGUGAGGUAAUGGCUCACCUAGGCGACGAUACAUAGCCGACCUGAGAGGGUGAUCGGCCACACUGGGACUGAGACACGGCCCAGACUCCUACGGGAGGCAGCAGUAGGGAAUCUUCGGCAAUGGGGGCAACCCUGACCGAGCAACGCCGCGUGAGUGAAGAAGGUUUUCGGAUCGUAAAGCUCUGUUGUAAGUCAAGAACGGGUGUGAGAGUGGAAAGUUCACACUGUGACGGUAGCUUACCAGAAAGGGACGGCUAACUACGUG